GGGGCGUAGCUCAGCAAGGCAGCAGGUGCUCUGCAUGCAGAAGGACCCCGGUUGAGUGCUUGGCAUGCAGAAGGAGAUCCUCCCCCUGCCUCAAAAAAGGAGGGUGGAGGAAACUUGCCCAGCUUCCCCCCCCCCGCUCCCUGCCGCCAGUUGGGGGGCGGGGGCCGGGUCCCCAUGGAGCCCCCAGAGCAGGAGGCCAGAGGCAGCGCCGCCCCGUCUCCUUCCCCUCCGGACACAGGGAGGGGCUGCUCUGCGGACGUAGCUCUAGGGACGCGCGCGUCGGAAAAGGAGCCGGAAGUGUCGCCGCGAAACGCGCCGGAAGUUGCCAGACAGGGAAAGGAGGAGGGGCGUCGCUGAAGAGCCCCCCCCCCCCGUCGCCGCCGCCCUUUCUAUUGCAGACAAGGAAAGCGGAGUAAUCUGGAGCCAGGGAGGCGGAGGACCAAGAGGUAAAGAGGGAGAGAAGGGGGGGAUAAGGGGGGAGGACAAAGAGACCCCCCCAAGGAAAGCGCCCUCCCUGGGGCCCGUCGACAGGGGCCCCGAUCCAGGCGACCCAGGUGGGAAGGGGGGACCCAACACCUGCAGGGCUGGCCUUGCAAGAUCUCCUGGGCAGCAGCAGCACCGCCAGACUCCCCUUUCUCUUUCCUGGGGGGCCGAGAGAUGCUCAGCUGCCCUGCCCCCCCUGGAGGCCUUGGCGGGAAGGGGAAGGAGGACCCCAAGCAGGGCUGGGGGUGGGGCUGAGGCCCCCCAUUCUCCCUGGGGUCGUGGGGCGCCUGGCUGGGGAAAGGGAGAGAGGGAGUCCAGGGAAGGGUUAAAGGAAGGGGGAGGAGCCUCGACAGAGACCCCUCCCCCUCCAGCACCCCGACCCCCUCCUCCCCCCCCUUCCCUGAUGACACUACCAGGUUAUCUUAUUCACUAGGACUCAUCUCCAUACUUUGGAUUGUCCUGAAUACCACCAAUUAUAGCCUAGCGCAAACCCAAACGUCCUGCUAGGAUGCAUCUUGGCUUCCCUGCAGAUGAAACUGAGUGUGUGAGGAUUGAUAAUAUUUUCAUUUAUCCGUUUCAGACCCCUAAGUAGUAGCAGCUGCCAGGACAUUGUCCUGUUCGCCUCUGUAUAGUUCCAGCCUUAUUUCAGACAUUGUGGUAGAUUGCAAUCAGGGUGGGUUUGAUAUAAAUCAAAUUGAUUUCAAUCACAAUUUAUGGUAAAUCACUAGUCAGUAUGAUUCUAUUUAAAUCAAAAAUUUCUGAUUUGGUUACACUAUUAGAAAUACACAGACAGAUAAUUAUGAAAUCAUUCUGAGGUUUAAUAAGUUUACUGUCUAUAUUUGGACAACAUUUCUGCUGUAAUUUAUUGGAAGGAGAAAAAUAAUCAUUUCCUUAAUUACAACUUAAACAAUUUAUUUAACUAAAACCAUAAAAUUAUAGCAUGUUGGUAGACAUUUUUUUUUUUUUAAACAGCCAAGCAGACUGAGUUUUAGCGCACAUGAAAAACUCAGAACUUAAGCAUUUCACCACCUCCACUACCAGCCACCCCUUUGGAUUGGCUUCUGCAUUCAGGUGCCUAUUCUGUACAGUUAUGUGUUAGUGCGAUUGUUGGAACCCAAUGGGAUUGGGAAGAGGUUGCCAGCCCUGAAGAGCCUUCAGCGCUUGCCUCAAGUCUGACUUGCACAAUUAUUACACAAAGACCCCAAGAUGUGUGGAGUAUUCUGCUCACAAGGUUGCACUUUCAUUUUUACUGCUUCACACUUAGCUACUUGUGCAGAUCUCUUCCACUGCAAACCAUCUGUUCAUUGAACCUCUUGGAACUUAGAAUUUAAGGGGUUGAUUCUGUGUAUAUAAAUCUGCAAAGGAACAAUGGGAUUAAGGUUUUCCGUCAACUCUGUAUGUUUAUUUUAUAACAUUUUUCCUGUGAAGAAAAGGCAUGUUAUCUCUGCAGAUACACAAAUUCACACUUUUGAGAAUGGCAAAAACAAGCAUCUGUGACAAUAUCUUCUCAUUAGAAAAACUUCCCCAAAUAAUCUUACAGAAACCUCUGGAAGAGCAUGACAUUGUGAAUGGGUUAAUGGAAUUCAUUUACCCCAAAAAUUAAAUAUUGCAUAUAAAGCCUCAUGCUAGAUAAUUAAAAACAAAUCCUUAUUUCCAGAUGAAUAGCCUUUGGACUAUAAUGUAAUUAAAUAUAAAACUAUCUUUAGAUAGAUUUUUUCCUCUAAAAGCAUUUUAUUUUUUUAAUAAUUCUGAUUAAAAUAAAAAAAAAAUUCUGAUUUAAAUAAAAAAAUCCAAUUUUUAUUUUUUUAAACAAAUCAUUGAUUGUAUCCACCCUGAUUGCAAUCUUUAGCUGCUGAUAACAUGGCAACGUUUAGCAGGUCAUAUUGUGAGGUUUAGCUGGUGAGAACAUUGCAAUUGUUAGCUGACGAGUUAUCACGAUAUUGAAAAUCAGAUAUUUCCUAGUCCUUAUACACAUUGGAUUUGCGAUAUAACGUCAGCUCAAAUAUUAGGAAACAGUUAGCACAUUAACAUCAAGCCCAGCUCUAAUUAUGACCUAAUUUUCUGGCCCAGUGUAUCAUUGAAGAUUUUACCAGUUUUAUUUUGUUUCCCAUUCUAAUAGUAUCUCAUACAUUUUGGAAAGUUUUUUUUAAAAAAUUGUUCAGCAGUACCUAAGAGACCAGCUGAGUUUGUUCUGGGGAUAAGCUUUCGUGUGCAUGCACACUUCUUCAGAUUGGACAAUUUUCUACCUGAAAUUUGGGAAACACUUUCUCUUUCCUCUCAAUAAUAUCUCUUUCAAACUGUGAACUUUCAGUCCAAAAACCUCUCCCUUCAUCUUGUCGAAACAAGAUGAUUUGAUGUUAUUGAAACCAAUCCGCCACCACACCUCCCACCUCAUCCUGUUUAUUCAGUUUUAUUUCUUCUUCCGAAAAGUCCAAAAGAUCUCUGUAAGUUGCCCAUUGCUUCUUCCCUAUUGCAUUUUUUUAAAAAGCUGUUGCUUUUGUGGGUGGAAGCCAAAGAGGUGUUUUUCUUUCCAGCAGAUUAUUAUAUUUAUCCCAUACUGUAAAAAGGAUUUUCUCAAUAACCUGAUUCAUAGAGCUCUUGUGUGUUUUAGUUUUAUCCUGCCAUAAAUAAGCGUGCCAACCAAACAUAGUCUUACGACCUUUGUUAUAAGGAAAACCUGCUCCUUUCCCCUUAUGGGGUAUCCAAGAGCCCAUAUAGUCCUCAAGUGGGUUCCAUAUUGGUAGGAGAAAAUAACAGAGGCCAACCAGAGUAUAUGGGAAGCAAAGCGGCUAGUAAGCCUGAUCUUUAUUGCAACAGUGUCCCCCCCCCCUCACCACAACCAGCAGGGAGGUGUGCACGGCCUUAUAUAGUCUUUUGAAAUUGCCCACCCAAGACCACCACCCCAAAUAUCAUACAGAAGGAGACUGUCUACAGCAGGAAUACAUCACAGGAGGUGGUCUACAGCAGAAAACCUGUCCUCAAGGAUACCUGUUAAUGGUCACUAACUGCAUUACCUGGGCAGCCUGGCCAUUCUUUUGUGUUGGUAAAGUUCCUGAAUCCAGGUCACAGGCUCACCCUGUUCAUCCCUCCUUAAGGCAGUAUUUGUAAGCACAAAGACAAUGGGAAGGCUUCCAUUUGCCUCCUUUACUGCAGGGGAAUAUUUGAGUACGUUUCCGGGCACAAUUCAAAGUGUUGGUGCUGACCUUUCAAGCCCUAAACGGCCUCAGUCCUGUAUACCUGAAGGAGCGUCUCCACCUCCAUCGUUCAACUUGGACACUGAAAUCCAGCGCCGAGGGCCUUCUGGCGGUUCCCUCAUUGCGAGAAGUGAGGUUACAGGGAACCAGACAGAGGGCCUUCUGGGUAGUGGUGCUUGCCCUGUGGAAUGCCCUCCCAUCAGAUGUCAAGGAAUUAAGCAGCUAUCUUAUUUUUAAAAGACAUCUAAAGGCAGCCCUGUUUAGGGAAGUUGUUAAUAUUUAAUGCUUUACUGUUUUUAACACUUGAUUGGGAGCCGCCCAGAGUGGUUGGGGAAACUCAGCCAGAUGCGCUGGGAAUAAAUAAUAAAUUUUAUUAUUAUUAUUAUUACUACUACUACUACUACUACUACUAUUAUUAUAGGUCUGUGGUGCUCAAUGUUUAGGCAUAGUAAAUAUUAGGAUUUAAUUAGAACUUGUGUGUUAUAAUGGAGAUAUGUUAUAAGGUAGUCUCGGUGUAUUUUAGAAAGGGAGUUAUGUAAAGGGUUUUUCAUGUUUGAGCCGUGUUUCUGUGUAAAUACUGUGCGUCAGACUGAGAAUGUCAUCAGGAAGGUCUAGGAAAGGGUGCACCUGCUUCUGAGCAUCAGAAAUGAGCAUGGAAAGAGUUAAUAUCAUUAACCUACCGGAAUCGGCCCCCUCCCUUUGUAACAAGCAGCUGUAGGUCUUUUGGGAUUUAAUAUCAGCUCAUGAAAAGUGGGGCACAUGACCCGGAAAGCUGCCUGGCUCCCUCCGUCUGAAGGCGGAGAUAUGCACCACACGCCAUAGCCGAAUUCGGCUGCAUUUGCCAUGGGAAAGCAGAAGGGGCAAGCAAGGAAGGGGGAGACGGCCAAAGAAACCUGCUCUCACACAGGUGCCCCCCCCUGCCAAUUCCGUAACCUUAGCAAAGCCCAAGUUCAAACACCACCCCUAUUUAAAAGAGGCCCCCGUAAGGACGACACUGGACUGCCCUUUACGGUUGCCGUAAGUUACUCUUCCAAGUCCCAAAAGCGCGAAGCAACUCCGGUCUAUUUUGCAGGGCUGUUGUAAUGGGGACCCCCUAUGCCACCGCCCAGGGCAGCCCAAAGUGACGUAUAACCAGUUGUUGUUGUUGUUGUUGUUGUUGUUGUUGUUGUUGUUGUGUUCCACGGUGAGACUCCAAGGUCUUCUGUGUCAUCUUUCCUGUGCAGUGGACGCUCAGGUUGCGAACGUGAUCCGUGCGGGAGGCACAUUCACAACCCGCAGCGCCGCGUCUGUGCAUGUGCGGGUUGCAAUUCGGUGCUUCUGCACAUGCGCAAAGCGUGAUUUAGUGGUUCUGCACAUGCGCAAGGGCUGAAACCCGGAAGUAACCUGUUCUGGUACUUCCGGAUUCCGUGCGGUGCCCAACCCGAAAACACAACUCGAAGCGUCUGUAACCCGAGGUAUGACUGUCUUUUGGAAGGCAGCGGGAAGGCUGUUCUCAGGGCCUGCUCCACCGUGAGGGAAACUGAGGCAGCCCCCUCAGGCAGGAGAUGCAGGGAGGGGCAAGGAGGGGACGGAGCUGAGUCCCAUUUGGCCAGCCCUGAUUUAACCCUCUAUCCCAGGCAUAGGCACCCUAAGGCCCAUGGGCCGGAAGUUUGGAAAAACUUUAAAAAGUAUAAGAACUCACAUUAGGUAGUCAAAAAAUAGUAAUUUAAACAAAAUGCUUAUAAAAAAUAAGAUAAUUACUUAACAUUUAGCUUCUGUUACACAUUAUAUCCACAUAAGUCAAUAGAAAAAGUACAAAGAGAUGAUGUUCAAGAUGUGCCCUUUGGGAAAUUUGGUUUUGGCAACCGCAAAACAGCAUCCUUCAAAUCAACACUUGCAAUAGGGAAGACAAACAUACAAAAUCCUGGUUUUUCCUGAGGUAUGACACUUGUUUAGAGAUUAUUGUACACUAAGCGGGGCACUUUUAUACAUAUCAGUGCGUCCCAUGUCUUAGUGUAUCAAAGUGCCCCAAUGGACAUUUUCAAGAAACUAACAAUUGUUAAUAAAACCACUGAACUUAUUUGAAAAUCACGUGUAAUCCUGAUUACUGAGUGGAAUAACUUACCUUUGGUAUUUUUAAAUCUUAACUAAAUGCCGUAAAAAAGUGUUGGAACACUUUUACAUUUCACAUAAUUUUUAUUUUAUUUUUAAAAAAAAGAUAUUUAUUAAGGUUUUCACAGUGUUAC